rnacentral:rRNA from 1 species
UACAGAGGCGGCGAGCGUUGUUCGGAUUUACUGGGCGUAAAGGGUGCGUAGGCGGUUCCGUGUGUCGAAUGUGAAAGCUCACAGCUCAACUGUGGAAUGGCAUUCGAAACUACGGUGCUAGAGUACGGGAGGGGAGAGCGGAAUUCUCGGUGUAGCGGUGAAAUGCGUAGAUAUCGAGAAGAACACCGGCGGCGAAGGCGGCUCUCUGGACCGAUACUGACGCUGAGGCACGAAAGCUGGGGGAGCAAACAGGAUUAGAUACCCUGGUAGUCCCAGCCCUAAACGGUGUGCACUUGGUGUGGGGCGGAUUGUCCCGCUCCGUGCCGGAGCUAACGCGUUAAGUGCACCGCCUGGGGAGUACGGUCGCAAGAUUA